rnacentral:rRNA from 1 species
UACGUAGGGUGCGAGCGUUGUCCGGAAUUAUUGGGCGUAAAGGGCUCGUAGGCGGUCUGUCGCGUCGGGAGUGAAAACUCAGGGCUUAACCCUGAGCCUGCUUCCGAUACGGGCAGACUAGAGGUAUGCAGGGGAGAACGGAAUUCCUGGUGUAGCGGUGGAAUGCGCAGAUAUCAGGAGGAACACCGGUGGCGAAGGCGGUUCUCUGGGCAUUACCUGACGCUGAGGAGCGAAAGUGUGGGGAGCGAACCGG